rnacentral:rRNA from 1 species
UACAGAGGGGGCAAGCGUUGUUCGGAAUUACUGGGCGUAAAGGGCGCGUAGGCGGCCACCGCAAGUCGACUGUGAAAUCUCCGGGCUUAACCCAGAAAGGUCAGCCGAUACUGCGGGGCUAGAGUGCAGAAGGGGCAACUGGAAUUCUCGGUGUAGCGGUGAAAUGCGUAGAUAUCGAGAGGAACACCUGCGGCGAAGGCGGGUUGCUGGGCUGACACUGACGCUGAGGCGCGAAAGCUAGGGGAGCGAACGGG